rnacentral:rRNA from 1 species
CAGUACUGACGCUGAGAUGCGAAGCGUGGGGAGCAAACAGGAUUAGAUACCUGGUAGUCCACGCUGUAAACGAUGUCGAUUUGGAGUUUGUUGCCUAGAGUGAUGGGCUCCGAAGCUAACGCGAUAAAUCGACCGCCUGGGGAGUACGGCCGCAAGGUUAAAACUCAAAUGAAUUGACGGGGGCCCGCACAAGCGGUGGAGCAUGUGGUUUAAUUCGAUGCAACGCGAAGAACCUUACCUGGUCUUGACAUCCAUAGAAUUCUGCAGAGAUGUGGGAGUGCCUUCGGGAACUAUGAGACAGGUGCUGCAUGGCUGUCGUCAGCUCGUGUUGUGAAAUGUUGGGUUAAGUCCCGCAACGAGCGCAACCCUUAUUCUUUGUUGCCAGCGAUUUGGUCGGGAACUCAAAGGAGACUGCCGUUGAUAAAGCGGAGGAAGGUGGGGACGACGUCAAGUCAUCAUGGCCCUUACGACCAGGGCUACACACGUGCUACAAUGGCGUAUACAAAGGGAAGCGAAGGUGCGAGCUGGAGCGGAUCUCAUAAAGUACGUCUAAGUUCGGAUUGGAGUCUGCAACUCGACUCCAUGAAGUCGGAAUCGCUAGUAAUCGUAGAUCAGAAUGCUACGGUGAAUACGUUCCCGGGCCUUGUACACACCGCCCGUCACACCAUGGGAGUGGGUUGCACCAGAAGUAGAUAGCUUAACCGCGAGGGGGGCGUUUACCACGGUGUGAUUCAUGACUGGGGUGAAGUCGUAACAAGGUAACCA